GGAGCUGAGAGUGUACUGCUGGAGAAUGGAGGUGUACAAGCAUUAUCAGACACCAGGAGGAAGGUCCUGUGGCCCAGGUCAUGGCAGGUGGAACACACCAGAUCAAGGCUUCUCUGAAUUUGGUUCCAGGACCUACCCUAGAUGAGCCAGUUGUCGAGAUAUUGGAAUACCUGGACCCCUCAACGUCUGAGGUGCCUGGUGAGACUGACAAGACUUAGGCAGCAGUGGCAGCCAGAACUGCUUCCUCGCAGGCUGUGGUGAAUGCAUUCCCAGCAAGCGAAGGGUGGCCCUGCUGUCUUUCAGCCCAUGCAGCAUUGCAUUAGUCUGGUCUGAAAAGAGACCAUUCUCAUCUAAUGGGAGGUCUUGGAUGGAGAUUUGCAUUUCCUGGGAGAGACCUGCAGUCUGAAGCCAGGAGCUGUGCCUCAUCACCACUGCGACCAUCCUGGAUGCCAAGCCCAUGUCCCACACUGUCUGGAGGGAGCACCUGGCAGCUGCAGUGCCCUCCUCCAUCAGAUGCCAAAUUCUUGGGCCAACCCCUGUGGAAGGGACUCCUUGAACUUAUGGAGAGAGUCCCAUAAGUUAAAGUUGUAACAGCUCAACCAGGGCCUGAUGGUUCGCCGCCCGGAACUGCACGGCGAAUAAAUUUUUCUCCCAAACA